ACGAACGCUGGCGGCGUGCUUAACACAUGCAAGUCGAACGGAAAGGCCCUGCUUUUGUGGGGUGCUCGAGUGGCGAACGGGUGAGUAACACGUGAGUAACCUGCCCUUGACUUUGGGAUAACUUCAGGAAACUGGGGCUAAUACCGGAUAGGAGCUCCUGCUGCAUGGUGGGGGUUGGAAAGUUUCGGCGGUUGGGGAUGGACUCGCGGCUUAUCAGCUUGUUGGUGGGGUAGUGGCUUACCAAGGCUUUGACGGGUAGCCGGCCUGAGAGGGUGACCGGCCACAUUGGGACUGAGGUACGGCCCAGACUCCUACGGGAGGCAACAGUGGGGAAUAUUGCACAAUGGGCGGAAGCCUGAUGCAGCAACGCCGCGUGCGGGAUGACGGCCUUCGGGUUGUAAACCGCUUUCGCCUGUGACGAGGCGUGAGUGACGGUAAUGGGGAAAGAAGCACCGGCUAACUACGU
rnacentral:rRNA from 1 species